UCCAAUGUGGUGUAGUGGCUAACAUUGCUGUCUUUCAUUCGGAUGAUCACAGCAGCCCGGGGUUCGAUUCCCCGCAUUGGAA
rfam:Moniliophthora roreri MCA 2997 sctg_0010_0002, whole genome shotgun sequence.